CUUGUAUAACACUAAAAAUCCUCGGCGUAUUCUACCUUAUUUAUUCCUUUACAGUCCCUAUACCUGAGGAAAGUCGGAGCUCCACAGGGCAGGGUGCUGGAUAACGUCCAGUGGGGGCGACCCCAAGGAAAGUGCCACAGAAAUAGACCGCCAGGAGCGAAAGCUCUCUGGUAAGGAUGGAACGGCGAGGUAAGAGCUCACCAGCAGGCAGGUGACUGUCUGGCUAGGUAAACCCCACCUGGAGCAAGACCGAAUAGAGGAGCAGUGAGGUCGCCCGCCUCGCUCCCGGGUUAGGUCGCUGGAGGUGCUAGGCAACUAGCAUCCUAGAUAGAUGAUUAUCAAAUACAGAACUCCGCUUACAGAUUUACUUGCUAC
rnacentral:RNase_P_RNA from 1 species